rnacentral:misc_RNA from 1 species
GAUGAAGAACGCAGCGAAAUGCGAUACGUAAUGUGAAUUGCAGAAUUCAGUGAAUCAUCGAAUCUUUGAACGCAUAUUGCGCUCUCUGGUAUUCCGGAGAGCAUGCUUGUUUGAGUAUCAGUAAACACCUCAACUUCCAUAUCUUUUUUGAAAUGGGAGUUGGACUUGAGUGAUCCCAACGCUUUUCCUCACCGAAAAGUGGCGGGUUACUUGAAAUGCAGGUGCAGCUGGACUUUUCUCUGAGCUAUAAGCAUAUCUAUUUAGUCUGCCUAAAAAACAGAUUAUUAACUUUGCUGCAGCUAACAUAAAGGAGAUUAGUUCUUGUGCUGACUGAUGCAGGAUUCACAAAGACAGGCUUCGGCCGACUUUGUAAACUCGAUCUCAAAUCAAGUAAGACUACCCGCUGAACUUAAGCAUAUCAAUAAGCGGAGGA